rnacentral:lncRNA from 1 species
AUGAUAAUGACUUAGUUGAUGAAUCAGUAGAAAUUUUUUCUACUAUUCAUCCCUGCUCUGGCUAAUGACUCUCAGAGUCAUCAUCCUAUAAGAUCACAUAGGAUGUUCUCUCCUCUUACAAGGAGUGACCGAUUUCUUAUUAGUCACAACCUCCAUGCACAUAUCAUAUCCAUAUCCCACAUACAUCUCAAAGUGACAUGCUAGGGAAUAAACUAAAGUAAGGGUCCAUGUACACAAGGUACC